GCAUAAUUCUAAUCAUUGUUAUCUUGGACGACGCAUUCAAGUUUUGCCGGUUAGAUAAUGUCCGCUGGCGUGGGCCCGCUUGGGCGCGCGGGGCUUGGCAGCGGUAGCUCUCUCCUUUCGUUAGUUUAAACACAAGGGAGGGUUUACCGAAUGCAGAGAAAGCAGGUAGCCGAUACACAAGUUAAUUACUUGCUGCUUGUGUUGACGCAGCUGUUGAGCCAUUCCAAAUGACCUUCUGUGAUCGCGGCCUCAACUAUUUUUUUCCCCCCCAGAAAGCCCCGGAAGAUAAGCCACGCUUUCUUUUUCUUUUUUUUUUACUGCCAGUAAUCGUUCUUUUUAAUGUCACCCCCGCUGCUGUGUCGUGGUUUAUCGUGUUCUCGUAAUCAAACAACCCUUUUUUUGGACGGAAGGCUGGCUCCGGUGAUCACGUGGCACUUUAUGGAUUCAGUGGACAGAUGGAGGAGUGGACAGAAGACAGUGCCAGGGGGACCACAUCCCAUUGCAAAUUAGCCAAUCACAAGGCUGCCAGAGGCUUCGUUCUUUCCAAUCAUUUGUCCUCCAGUGGUCCAUCGAUUUCCUGCUCCAUAGCAACGCUGACUCCGCAUCCAGUAAUAAUUCCCAUCCUGGGGUAUGGACUCCAGAAGAUGGUUAGCGUUGUGUGAAGAGGCCCGAGUUUCCCGUGGUCGGCUCAGCGUGGCGAGCUGUCCAGAUUGGACAUAACGGCGGGAAAUAAUCACUCUUCAGGAUGAAAUUUUGAUAACCAGACAAACAAAGACAUCACUUCCAAUCUCGAGCAGAAAAGGUGGUGGAGGAGAAGCAGACACCUGGUGAGGCUGUGGGCCCACAGAAGCCUGUCCUGACAUCGCGAUGACUCACGGACGUACAGUUGCUAGACGGAUGAACCGUGCCGCCGGAUUAAUUCUCAGCGAGAGACGAGGGACUGUGUUGUUUUCAACUUCAUGGAAACUUGGCUGAACCCAAACAUCCCUGAUUCGGCUCUGUAGAGCCCCAGAUUCAAAAUGCACCAGUUAGGACCCCAUGUCUGAAAAAACAAAGUCAAUGCAAGGCAUCUGUGGAAUUGCCUGCAGGACAUCACCCGCUACAAAGGACAGAUGUGACAGACUGUGACUUCCGAUGUCACGCUGCCUGAUGAGCUAAAUAACUUUUAUUUGAGGUUUAAGGCUCAAAAUAUAAACCAGGCACAUAUAGUUCCCAAAAAAAUCAUGACAAUUUGUGCUGAAACUGUCUGAACAGGAUGUGAGGAGGACUUUCAGCAAUGUCAAUGCCUGCGAAGCUGCCAACCAUGAAGACAUCUCUUCCUGUGCUGUAAAGACAUGCAGAUUAUUGUUGGCCGCUGUUUUCACUCACAUCUUCAACGUCUUUGCAUUCCUGUCCCCUGUCCCACUGUGCUACGAGAGGACUACAGUUGUGCCACUGCUGGCAACAUCAAAAGCGCCAUGUGUGAAGGACAACUGGCCGGUGGCAUUAACCAAAGUGCUCAUGAAGUGCAUAGAGCGACCGGUCAUGGCAUUCGUCACCAUGGUGCCAGGCCGGCUGCUGGGUAACCUUAGGGGACCGGGCCCAAGUGACUCCCUAUCCAAGUGGGUUCUGGAUAUUCUGACACACAGACUCCAGGUGAUAAAGGUCAGAAAUAAUAUCCCUGCAGAUUCUCAAUACAAAGACUAUCCUGAUCUGCUGCCUGACGCCAAGGCUGUACUCCCUCGGCUUCCAAGAGGCCAGAUUCUGAAUGACCAAGUCGUCAAGAUACCACAGUAAAUGGUCUCAUAACCAAUAGCGAUGAAUCCUCACAGAGGAGCGAGCAGUGGUGCUACAACCACAAAUCGCACCUUGAAUAUCAAUAAAACAAUAGAGGUCAUUGUGGCCAAGCCGGAAUCACACACUAAUCACCGCUGAUGGAUCUUCUGUGGAAACUGCCAGAAAAUUCAGGUUUCUCCGCCUCCAGACCUCAGAAGGACAGAGUUGGACAUGAAACACCCUCACAAAAGUCCUGCAAUACUUUCCUUCCCGGGAAUGGAUAGCAACCCCUGAUGAGAUCAUGGCCGUCACUAGACCCCCUAUACUGGGGCACAAAAAAUGUCACGUUCCGCUUUGAAAAAACCCAAGGCGGGAUGGGGGGAUGCCCCAGUAGAACUUUAUGUCUAGCAACACCCCUGGCUGAGAUAUCAUUGAGGGUGUCCUCAGAAAGCAUCUUCUUCUGUAAUAACUGGCUAUUCGAAAAACGGGAAAAAUAAGGUGCAUGAUAUUUGAGACAGUGUAGUGUAUAUUAUUAAGAAUUUACUUUUCAAAAAUAAUAUUCUAGGAGAAAAAGAGUGUGCACGGUUUAUUUCAAAACUUGAUUUCCCGUUCUAUUUAGUCAGCUCUGUUUGUGAACUGUAAUACUGUAAUUCCAUUAAAAAAAUGUUAAUGAAGGUGAAACGCUACGCGAUGCUGUUUGUGGAGAUAUAAUGAUGUUUAGGUCUGACAGGUUGGAACUGAGCCUCGUUUAGGAGAAAAGGAUAUUUACUGGAAAAUUAAUAUUUAUAUUGCUUUUGACAUGACAAGGAGCUCUCCUUUUUAUGGGUUGCACAAAAUAUACAUAUUAUUGAUAAUGAAGAUAAUAACGUUGUAAGCCAUCAUCUGUAGUUCAAACAAAGCCGAAAUCUUGGCAAACCGCCACCGUACGUGACAUUUGCCGUUAAACAAGAGUAAAAAACAAGUCUGACGGUUUAAAUGGCUAAAAUGUACUGCACAUUAAUUAAAGGAAUGCUUGUAUGGUUGGAGGGUAUAAAUGUUUUCUUUGACCUUAAAGCGGUAUUAUUCUGCAAGGUUAAACUAGCAGUAAACUAAAUUAUUUAGGAGUCGGUGAAUUUAAAUACAUGUUGUCGGCGAAAAGAAUUUACUUUUUUUUUUCACAAAGGGCUGCUAUAUAGGAGAAACGACUUGGGGACACAAUGAGGAAUUUCAGUUCCAGUCGUCCGCCCAGAUCAAUUGAGACGACUGAACCGUAAAAUGUGAACACAGGGCUUUGUGGGUAGGGGGCAUUGAUUUCUUUGGCUGGACACCCGGCUGGUCACAGGUGCAGGAUGAAGGGCGGGUUAAGCCUCUGCCGUUCCUGUAACAGAGAAAUGUUGGCUUUCCGGAACAUUCUACUCACGCACAUCAUUCUUCUCAGCUUACGGACCCCAGGGUCCCAGUUUUCAUAUUUUUCUUGAGAAGUUUAGUUUAGAGAUUAGCAUAAGAAACUAAGGGGUGACACACUGACCCAGUGGGUUCAAAUCCCUCGCCGGCUCGGUGUUCCUGGAAUUUGCUUGUUCUUCCCAUGUUGAAAGACUGUCCUCUGGGUUUCUCAGUUACUUCUCACUCGAAAUAUGCAGUUAUGUUAGUUCAUGCCUCAAAAUUACCCAUAGGGUGCGAGUGUGUGUGUCUUACUCCCUGUGCUGGUUGGAUCAGGCACUACAUGCCUCCCAUAACCCUGGAAGAUGAGCAGGUAACGAACUAAGUUUCAUGUGGAGAAGGAAAAUAAAUAAUUUUAUGUACCUUUUAAUGUCUGCAAUAUUUUUUCAUGCUUGCCAAUAAAAAAAAGCGGUGUUGUAAGUUUUUCAAUUACUUAUUGCCUUUCGAUCGGCAGUACCACCUUCCAGACCGUACUUAUCAUUAUUUGUUACUACUAAAAGGUCUUAAUUUGUCCCUUCUUUGUGGUGAGUCAUAUUUAAAGCCAUUUCAGAUGCAUAAAUUACAUUAUUAUUUGCUGAAUUUCAUAAUAGAAAAAAUACAGAAUUGCAGGGCAAAAGGUCAGCCUUGACAAGAAUAUUGAUUGCGAAAUAAUGCUAUUAAAUAUAUAAUAUUUUUGCUUUUUGCUGAGGCAUCUACUCUCCCCUAUCUCUGUACGGGUAUUUACAAAUCUAUUUGUGCCACUGUGGGUCUAAAUAUUAUGCGUAUUUUUUUUAUUGUUGUGAAAUGGAGUGAUAAUUAAUAAAGGUUUGGAACAACUGCAAAUUAUCUCUUUUUAUUAGAGUGUAUAAAUCUUUUUUUUUAUUAUUUUCAGAGC